AUGUCAGGCCUCCUUACCCUCCUCUGGGUCUUAUUUCCAGCUGGUCAGUCAUUCAUCAUACUGGAGCAACCAGCCCAGGUCCUGGCACACAAGGGAAACUCUGUCUUUCUGCAGUGCUUGGUCCACAUCAAGGUCAGCUACAUCCACUGGUACCGGCAGCAGGAGGGCCAGGCCCCCCAGAGACUUCUCUACGUGAACAUGUUCUGCAAGGUUGUGCAGAUGGAUUCAGUCCUCAAAUCAGAUAAAAUCACAUCUGUGAGAACCAGCGAUGGUAGGAGCUGUUCCCUGUUGGUGCGGAAGCUGGAGAAGGGUGAUGAUGGUGUGUACUACUGUGCAACCUGGAGCACCACAGACCUGUGCACCCACCCAGCUCCUGCACAACAAGGCCCCUUACUUCCUGAUCCUGCCAGGACUUGGACAUGUUUCUGA